rnacentral:rRNA from 1 species
AUUGAACGCUGGCGGCAUGCCUUACACAUGCAAGUCGAACGGCAGCACGGGUGCUUGCACCUGGUGGCGAGUGGCGAACGGGUGAGUAAUACAUCGGAACGUACCUUAUCGUUGGGAUAACGCAGCGAAAGCUGUGCUAAUACCGCAUACGCCCUGAGGGGGAAAGCGGGGGAUCGCAAGACCUCGCGCGAUUAGAGCGGCCGAUGCCUGAUUAGCUUGUUGGGGGGGUAAAGGCCCACCAAUGCGACGAUCAGUAGCUGGUCUGAGAGGACGAUCAGCCACACUGGGACUGAGACACGGCCCAGACUCCUACGGGAGGCAGCAGUGGGGAAUUUUGGACAAUGGGGGCAACCCUGAUCCAGCAAUGCCGCGUGAGUGAAGAAGGCCUUCGGGUUGUAAAGCUCUUUUGUCAGGGGAGAAACACCGGCUCUAACACAGUCCGGGAAUGACGGUACCUGAAGAAUAAGCACCGGCUAACUACGUGCCAGCCGCCGCCGUAA